rnacentral:lncRNA from 1 species
CCAGUUUUCAGAAGUAGGUCUCUUCACAACGAUUAGAUCGACAAGCUGUCUUAGAUUCUGCCAAUAACUGUUCUCAUUGGUCCCUGAUUUUUCAAUAGAAACAAGAGGCCCUAAUCCUGAGGAAUUGUAAGCUUUCUCCACACUUGAGGGACAAUAACCUUUGUUUGCUUCUCUCUUUCCACAAAAAGGGAAGGUCGAUCCCAGUAAAGUGGACACACUUCUGGGAAACCUGGGGCUAAAUCUCACUCAAAAGGAGUUUGACGAUCUCAAAAGAAACCUGAAACUUGAUGAAAACCAGAAAGCGGAUAUCAAAAGGGUAAUAAACGAAGCCAAACUCUUCACAGGCCAGAAAGUUGAUGCCAGCAAACUUCAAGACAUUCUGAGAAGCUAUGGCAUUAAACUCAAUCCUAACGAAAUAGAAAACUUGAAAAAGAUGUUGCCAGUGGAUGGUAAGCAUCGUGAGUGGCAUUUGGGCUUGUUAGGUAGUUUGAUUUUCCGUCUCUGUAAAGAAAUCCCCGAACUAAAAAUGCUUGAAAACUAUUAAAACCUAAUGAUGAUAACCAAUAAACUCUCAUUAGAUUUUAAUUUAAAAAUCAUAAAAUCUUUCAGCUACCAAAGUUCUUUACUG